rnacentral:rRNA from 1 species
UACAGAGGGUGCGAGCGUUGUCCGGAAUCACUGGGCGUAAAGGGCGCGUAGGCGGCUCGGUAAGGUUGCGGUGAAAGCCCGGGGCUCAACCCCGGGUCGGCCGUGGCAACUGCUGGGCUCGAGCACUGUAGAGGCAGGUGGAAUUCCGGGUGUAGCGGUGAAAUGCGCAGAUAUCAGGAGGAACACCGGUGGCGAAGGCGGUUCUCUGGGCAUUACCUGACGCUGAGGAGCGAAAGCGUGGGGAGCAAACAGG